GUCCCAUUUAAAACACGCAUAAAUAAGAGAAAUGGCACAUCAUGUUAUAACACAUCUCUGCAAACGGUUUCCUGCUGGAAUUAAAAGAAGAUGUGAGAAAGGCAUCUGCUCACUGCACAGGUUUUCUCUUAAUUCAGGCAAAAAACCCUGUGGACAAAGCAUCCUCUCAUGAGAACCAAGACCAGCCCACCACUCCAGGCAGUGAGGACUGCCUUGAGCCAGCAAGACUCCACCCAUGACAGUGAUUUUGACAAUGAUCACCUUGAUCUUCACUGACCACCUGCACAUACUCACCAAGCUUUGUCCCACAUUUUCCUUUUGUAAACUUGAUUUUGCCAGCAGUGAGUGGCCGAACCUGGUCUGUUUGGGAACCCCAAAUCCAAGUGCUGUUGUACUUUUGUGCCCCAGCUACAAGAGGAAACACUGGGAAUGAACAGUGGAGAAAUAAAAUGUAAAGUAGUCUUAUU
rnacentral:lncRNA from 1 species